rnacentral:rRNA from 1 species
UGUCCUAUUAGGUUGUUGGUGGGGUAAUUGCUUACCAAGCCGAUGAUGGGUAGCUGGACUGANAGGUCGACCAGCCGCAAUGGGAUUGAAAUACGGCCCAUAUUCCUACGGGAAGCAGCAGUGAGGAAUUUUUCACAAUGGACGAAAGUCUGAUGGAGCAAUACCAUGUGAACGAUGAAGGUCUUCUGAUUGUAAAGUUCUUUUAUUUAGGAAAAAAAGCUUGAGAGGAAAUGAUUAAGCCUUGAUUGUACUAAAUGAAUAAGUGACAGCUAACUAUGUGCCAGCAGCUGCGGUAAAACAUAGGUCACGAGCAUUAUCCGGAUUUAUUGGGCGUAAAGGAAGCGUAGGCGGACAAGUUGAUCUAUUGUUAAAGGCACUUGCUCAACGAGUUGUUUGUGAUAGAUAUCGUUUGUCUAGAAUUAGUUAGGAGAUACUGGAAUUCAAUGUGUAGCGGUGGAAUGCGUACAUAUAUUGAGGAACACCAGAGGCUAAGGCGAGUAUCUAGGACAUAAUUGACGCUGAGGCUUGAAAGCGUGGGGAGCAAAUGGGAUUAGAUACCCCAGUAGUCCACGCCGUAAACGAUGGGUAUUAGGUAUUUGGUUUAGGACUGAGUGCUGUAUCUAACGCGUUAAAUACCCCGCCUGGGUAGUAUAUAUGCAAAUAUGAAACUCAAAGAAAUUGACGGGGACCUGAACAAGUGGUGGAGCAUGUUGCUUAAUUCGAUAAUACACGAAAAACCUUACCGAGGCUUGUAAUCUUUUGCGAAGCUAUAGAAAUAUAGUGGAGGUUAUCAGAAUGACAGGUGGUGCAUGGCUGUCGUCAGCUCGUGUCUUGAGAUCUUUGGUUAAGUCCCGUAACGAGCGCAACCCUUCUCUUUAGUUAAAUAGUUCUAAAGUGCCUGAAUAGUAAGAUAUAGGAAGGCAGGGGCCAAGUCAAGUCAUCAUGCCCCUUCUCCCUCGGGCCGCAAACGUGCUACAAUGGUAGGUAUAAUGUGUUGCAAUCUAGAAAUAGGGAGCUAAUCCCCGAAAACCUAUCUCAGUCCGGAUAAAAGGCUGCAAUUCGCCUAUUUGAAGUUGGAAUCACUAG